UUAAGAACCAUCAUUUUUUUAAAAAUAAGGUUUGAAAAAAGUUAAGUUGCAGCAGAUGGUCCUGGGUUGUGUAAGAUAUGAUACUAAAAUAAACCAUCAUUUUGGUAGCGUCCCCAAUCCAGCAGGACUUUAAUAAGCACAUAUUAUUUGCUUAUUAGGAAAAUAAAAAAAAUCAUUUCAAAUAAAAUUUAAAAUGAUAACCAGUUUUUGAUCUAGGAUUUGAGGAAUUUAGAUUCAUAAAUCUUUUUCUCUUCAGUCUACUUCCCUGUUGUGAGUCUUUUAAUUAAACUUGCAGAUGUUUUUAUUUUCUGAGCAGCUACUGUGUGUGAUUGAGGUGGUCACAUACAUGAAAUGGUUAUGGAGAUGAAACCGUCCAUUCCAUUGGCCUGAGGCCAGUGCUUUGGCACAGGUGUACAUAUAUUGAACCAAGAAGCUAAUGAGCCAUGAUUCUGCCUCGUCAGGUAGGGAAAGCUGUAGUGUCCAUGCUGAGGCCUCUCUGACUGUCCACUUCAUGAGUGAGUGAGGCAGGUUAACUGCGCACUAAUUGGUAAAUAACCAAGGACCAAGUAAGCAAGUAUUUGAACAUCAGGUAUGUUGUGUGUCACAUUUGAAGACAAUUGUUAGUCACUUAGUAGGUACACUGAUGAUAUCGGCAGGAUAAUGACAGGUCUGUCUUGAAUGGUUACAUAUCUUACAAUGCUUUUGGACAGCCACAGAGGUUUGGACAGCUUGGUGCACGGGAGGGGUUAAAAAGCUCUUUUAAACACAUCAUGUGAGGACCAAGGUGUCAGACUCAAAAGACAGGAUGGCCUUGUUCUUCUGGAAACACUGUUCAAGUACAGUGCUUGUGAAAUAAAGGCCCUUAAGUAGAACAUACAAAGUACUUUGGUCAUUACUGUCAACGGUAAUGGAAAAGACAUUAGCAUUUUUGAGAUACAGAAGUAGGGCAGUUAAUGCAUAAUUCCCUUAGUUAUCAGCAAGAGGAAAAGGUGCAGACAAUGUAUUCUCUUCUUAGACGCCUUUCUUAUGCUUACCAAGAGUACUUGUGACAUUCAGCUCUUAAAUAUUUUAUCUUUUACUACAUAUUGAAUGUUGCCUUGUACAAUAUGGAGGUCCUUACUAGGUGUUUGCUAAGUGACCCAGGAUUUCAAUACUUCUGGAGUGUUGACAUUCUCAAAACUAGCUUUUUAUGGGGCCUGCAAAGUGGCUUUCCCGGUAAAGGUGCCAAUGAUCAAGCCAGACGACCUAAGUUUCCACCCAGUGGAAAGACAGAAGGGACUCUUGCAAGUAUUCCUCCUGACUUUCAGAGACAGGCCGUGGCACACAUGCAUGGUAAAUAAAAAGGUAAUAAAAGAAAAUGAGGCCUCGAAGGAGGUUUUCUCCUUUAUUAGCCAGGCAGUAGUGGUGCAAACCUUAAUUCUAGCACUUGGGAAGUGGAGGGAGGCAGAUGUCUGAGUUUUAGGCUAGCCUGGUCUACAAAGUGAGUUUCAGGAUAGCAAGGGGUACACAAAGAAGCCUCAUCUCCAUCAAAACAAAACAAAACGAAAACUAUUAAAAAUUAUUUUCUUUAAAUAUAAUUGAAGUAUGAAAUCAAAUUUGUUUACACUGAAGUGUAAAUAAUGAGAAUUUUGUCCUUUUGCUUGGUUUAGUUUGGUUUCUUUUGCUUUCCUCAACUGUCCCUAUGAGGUGGACAGUGUGUAUCUGUCGGCCUGCUCUGUCAGGUGGACAGUGUGUAUCUGUCGGUCUGCUCUGUCAGGUGGACAGUGUGUAUCUGUCGGCCUGCUCUGUCAGAUGGACAGUGUGUAUCUGCUGACCUGCUCUGUCAGGUGGACAGUGUGUAUCUGCUGACCUGCUCUGUCAGGUGGACAGUGUGUAUCUGUCGGCCUGCUCUGUCAGGUGGACAGUGUGUAUCUGUCGGCCUGCUCUGUCAGGUGGACAGUGUGUAUUCUGUCGGCCUGCUCUGUCAGGUGGACAGUGUGUAUCUGCUGACCUGCUCUGUCAGGUGGACAGUGUGUAUCUGUCGGCCUGCUCUGUCAGGUGGACAGUGUGUAUCUGUCGGCCUGCUCUGUCAGGUGGACAGUGUGUAUCUGCUGACCUGCUCUGUCAGGUGGACAGUGUGUAUUCUGUCGGCCUGCUCUGUCAGGUGGACAGUGUGUAUCUGCUGACCUGCUCUGUCAGGUGGACAGUGUGUAUCUGCUGGCCUGCUCUGUCAGGUGGACAGUGGCCUGUUUUUUUUUUUUUUUUUCCCUAAGAAAAUAAAAGACGUUCUUUCAGCUUCAUGAUCAGACUUUUACAUUUAGCAAUCAACAGCAUGGGUGAAAAGGUCUACAGUAAAACCCUUCGUUGGAAUGCUUUACACUCUCCACAGAACAGAAACUAAAACAACCUGUUCUACAAUUAGUCACAGAUACAGUCCUGGAGUUUUUGCCCACACACAUGAGUAUUGUCUAUAACAUGUCUUCCUUGUAGCAGCUAGGCCUGCCACCACUGUGCUUGACUGAGUUCACAAAUCUGUUGUAACCUGUAGCUUCCCUGUCACUUCUCUGGCUCUCCUCUCCUGCUAAGCUUUGUUUCCUGGCUGUAAUUAGAACCUCCUGCCACUGCCAUAGCUACUGCUGUUGCUGGAACCUCCAUAGCCACCUUGGUUUCGUGGUUUGGCAAAGCGCUGGCCUCGGCCACCAUGAGGGCCAGAGCUCCUGCCUCCGAAGUUUCUUCCUUUCAUUGACCCAAAGUUUGAAGACUGCUUGUUGUAAUUGCCAAAGUCAUUGUAGCUUCCACCACCUCCAAAAUCCUGCCGUCAUUGUCAAAUCCAUUAUAGCCAUCCCCACUGCCACCAUAUCCACCACCACAGCUGCCACCAAAGCCACCACGACUAUUGAAGUUCCCUCCUCAACCAAAAUUGUCACUGCCACCAAACCCGCCUCCGUAACCACCACGAAAGUUUCCGGAACCACCCCGACCUCUCAGGCUGGAUGAAGCACUAGCCAUCUCUCGUUUCCACAGAGCCUUUUUUACGUCACAGUUGUGGUCAUUCACAAUAUGCUAUUUCUGAAUAACAAUCUUAUCCACAGAGUCAUGGUCAUCAAAGGUGACAAAAGCAAAGCCCCACUUUUCCACUGCCCCUCUCAGUCAUAAUUUUAAUCACUUCAGUUUUCCCAUUCUGCUCAAAAUAAUCUCGUGGGUGACGUUCUUCAGUGUCUUCUUUAGCACCACCACCACCAGAGAUCUUCUUCACAGUUAAGUGGGCACCUGGGCUCUGAGAAUCUUCCAUGUCACAGCUCUCUUAGGUGCCACAGCUCUUCCCUCUACCUUGUGUGGCCUUGCAUUCAUGGCAGCAUCCGCUUCCUCCACAGUGUACGUGACAAGCACAAAGCCCCUGGAUCUCUUGGUGUUUGGAUCUCUCAUUACCACACAGUCAGUGAGUGUUCCUCAUUGCUCAUAAGGCUCCUCGGACUCUUGUCGUUGUUUUGAAGCUCAGCCCUCUCAUGAAGAGCUUCCGCAGCUGUUCCAGCUCUCUGGGAGACUCUUGACGUAGACAUGACAGCAGGGUGAUGAGAGCCUUCACCCAUGCUUCCUCAGCAGUGUCACAGAGCAGAAAGGAAUAAGAUAACAGUUGCCCAAGAUUCAGGGAUUUUUAAAAACUGGAGCAUGUGUAUUAUGUGGCCAGUGUCUUGCUCUAACUUGGUUAUGAGACUAAACCAAUCCUCACUGCUCUAGCAUGCUGAAGAAGCCAUCUGAGGGGAGGGAGACGGAUGCCCAGCUGUCACAUCAAAGGAAGCCGCAUUAUUCCAGCAGCAUCUAUUCUUGUCUAAACCUUCCACUGUUAGAGAUUUGAGGUUACGUGAUAUGCUUUAUGCUCAUAACUGAUGUGGCUGGAGAAUUGGUAUUGAAUUA
rnacentral:sRNA from 1 species